GAGAAGUUAGAACACAGAUACUAAGUUCUGUUCGUCAUUUGUCCGGUGACCAACGUAUAAAUGAAGUUCUGUUUGUCACUUGUCUGGGGAGGACUGCUAUUUCUAUUUCUGUUUGAAUAGGAAAUAAGUCAUGCUUUGGAACUGCUACCAUCAUUUUGAGGAAUUUUACUUUUAUGGUUAAUUAAAUGCAACUAGUUGUUUUAUGGUCUGUUGAAACUUUUGUGCAUCCUGAAUCUUGUGCUGAAUUGGAGUCUGCAAAAUAGUUCAUCAUACACACCAUUU
rnacentral:misc_RNA from 1 species